GGUCUUAUAUUCAUUAAUAAUGAUAAUAGAAUGCAAUUCUAUAGGAGUAAUAUUUAAAGUUACUAAGGCUU
rnacentral:tRNA from 1 species